AACAGCCACCAGCGGUACCACCACGAACCAACUAGCAGCUGCACUUCUUGAACCUGACAGCGUUGGAAAAGGGACGCCACGACACCACAUAUGCAAUAAAAUUCCAAACUUUCCUCCAAAAUGGCGUCCUAGGGCUGGAAAUGCAUCACGUGACAUCAAACCCUACCCUUGACCACCCAAUCAUGGGACUGUGUUACCCUACCUUUCAGCUUAGAGAAGGACAGGGAAGAUGGUGAAAGGAAGCGAGUGGGGAGAGAGAGACGGGGAGGGGCUGGCAAAGGACCCGAGCCCGGAAUCGAACCUGGGUCAGCCGCGUGGUAGACGAGUGCCCUACCGUUUGGUCACGGCAGGGCCCAUCCUGGCAACUGUUAGAAACAACCAUCUUCUUCAGUGAUUUGACUAGUAUUUCUAGAAAGAAGAGGAAUCUGGGGGGCAUUUUUUUCUAGAUACUGUAUGGGUAUAGGCCUAAAUUGUUGUAAUGAUGUUUUUGUGUGAUUUAA